AGAGUUUGAUUAUGGCUCGGGAUGAACGCUGGCGGCGUGCCUAAUACAUGCAAGUCGUGCGAGGUAGCUUGCUACCUAGCGGCGAACGGGUGAGUAACACGUAGGUAACCUGCCUUUAAGACUGGGAUACCCAGAGGAAACUUUGGCUAAUACCGGAUAACAACGGAAGCGGCAUCGCUUCCGCUUGAAAGUCGCGUUUGCGGCACUUUUAGAUGGACCUGCGGAACAUUAGCUAGUUGGUGAGAUAACAGCCCACCAAGGCGAGGAUGUUUAGCCGACCUGAGAGGGUGAACGGCCACAAUGGGACUGAGACACGGCCCAUACUCCUACGGGAGGCAGCAGUAGGGAGUUUUCGGCAAUGGGGGAAACCCUGACCGAGCAACGCCGCGUGAGUGAUUAAGGUCUUCGGAUUGUAAAGCUCUGUUGUAAGGGAAGAAUGCUUGCUUCAGGAAAUGGGAGCGAGAGUGACGGUACCUUACCAGAAAGGGACGGCUAACUACGUGCCAGCCGCCGC
rnacentral:rRNA from 1 species